CACUACCAAUUAUUGCUUAUUGAAACUGAAGAUUUCAAUGCUCCUCAUCAACUUUAUAAAUCUUGCCUCUACCAUCUCUGAAGAAAGCAACACAUGUGGAUAAUAGUGGGACUGUGAGACAGAAGACGGUGGAAUGAUAUUGGUUUCCCUGUAAGUUUCUCACCAUCCUGCAGCCUUCUGAGGAGGUCUCACCAUGAACCUGGCGAUGGAUGAGAAGAUAUUUCUUUCCCCCCAUACCAGCCCUCACCACCAACUGACUGCAAAAACUUGAGAGACCGAGUGAGAAUUGCCCAGCUCAGCCCAGUUAGCUCCUAGAACCAUGAGAGAUAAAAAUAAA
rnacentral:lncRNA from 1 species